rnacentral:rRNA from 1 species
GAUGAACGCUGGCGGCGUGCCUAAUACAUGCAAGUCGAGCGAACAGAUGAGGAGCUUGCUCCUCUGACGUUAGCGGCGGACGGGUGAGUAACACGUGGAUAACCUACCUAUAAGACUGGGAUAACUUCGGGAAACCGGAGCUAAUACCGGAUAAUAUAUUGAACCGCAUGGUUCAAUAGUGAAAGACGGUUUUGCUGUCACUUAUAGAUGGAUCCGCGCCGCAUUAGCUAGUUGGUAAGGUAACGGCUUACCAAGGCAACGAUGCGUAGCCGACCUGAGAGGGUGAACAGGCAAACGGGAAACGGAAAAAGGGCCAGACUCCCUAGGGGAGGCAGAGGUGGGAAUUUUCCCGAAAGGGGCGAAGCCCUGACGGAGCAACCCGGGGGGGGUAAGAAGGGUCUUCGGAUCGUAAAACUUUGUUUUUGGGAAAAAAAAAAUGUGUAAAAAACUAUGCCCGUCUGGACGGAACCAAAGAAAAAACCCACGCCAAACUCCGU